AAUCUACUCCCUCCGUCUGGAAAUACUUGUCAUCAAAAUGAAUAAAAAGAGAUGUAUCUAAAACUAAAAUACAUCUAUAUACAUCCCCUUUUAUCAAGUUUGAUGACAAGUAUUUCCGGACGGAGGGAGUAUAUC
rfam:Triticum aestivum genome assembly, contig: Triticum_aestivum_CS42_TGACv1_scaffold_406497_5BL